GACGAACGCUGGCGGCAUGCCUAACACAUGCAAGUCGAGCGAGCAGAUCCCUUCGGGGUGAAGCUAGCGGCGGACGGGUGAGUAACACGUGGGCAACCUACCUCAUAGAGGGGAAUAGCCUUCCGAAAGGAAGAUUAAUACCGCAUAAGAUUGUAGCUUCGCAUGAAGCAGCAAUUAAAGGAGCAAUCCGCUAUGAGAUGGGCCCGCGGCGCAUUAGCUAGUUGGUGAGGUAACGGCUCACAAAGGCGACGAUGCGUAGCCGACCUGAGAGGGGGAUCGGCCACAUUGGGACUGAGACGCGGCCCAGACUCCUACGGGAGGCAGCAGUGGGGAAUAUUGCAAAAUGGGGGAAACCCUGAUGCAGCAAUGCCGCGUGAGUGAUGACGGCCUUCGGGUUGUAAAGCUCUGUCUUCGGGGACGAUAAUGACGGUACCCGAGGAGGAAGCCACGGCUAACUACGUGCCAGCCGCCGCGGUAA
rnacentral:rRNA from 1 species